CUGACACAUCCGAGUUGGUGGAACAAUUGCAUUGAUGGGCUCACAAACCAAGCGUAGAGGGUUCGAUUCCUGGAAGGCAGCAUCUUGGAAGGGGGAUUUAUCUCGAAAGCAAGGUGCUGGAAGGCAGUGGAGAGGGCCCACUUUGGGGAAGGAAUAAAAGCCAUGCAGGAAUUUGAGAGCCAAUAAAGGCACAACCCGCGAUUAACUUUCUCAAACUAAUGAGGGGCCGGAGGUUUGAGGUCCAGGAUUUAAUCUGGCGAAACUAGGACACCUGGGUAUCAAAAAAAAAAAAGAAACACCCUUUUUAAAAAAUUGCUUAUUGGCGCAAAACUCCCCACCCAUUAGAUAUUGUGCGUAAAAAUCCCCCAUCGAUUGGAACUUGAGGAAAAGGUCCCUAUAUGAAACUUGAAGUUUGUUCUAUCCCACUGUCCAUUUUUUCAAUAAAUCCUAUUUAAAUAAAACAAAAUUAAAAAAAUUAAAAAGCUAAAAAGAAAAAGAAAAGUGCAAACGAUUCUAAGAGCCUGUUUGUGAGUGAUUUUGAGAAUUGAUUUUUGGACCGUUACUAGAAAAGUGAGGUUCACCUGUGAGAGAUGAAGUCAAAUAUGACGGCUAAAAUAGUGAAAUAACGGUCAGAAAAUCAAUUUUUUGAAGGAAAAAAUCACGAUGUAAAUAAAUAAUUAAAAAUUAAGACUAAAAAAAAAAAGUCUCUUUCUCUUCCUCCUCUCUUUCCCUACCCUCUUUCCACCGGCGCUUGAACUCUUCCACUGUCACCUCCAGCAACCAUCAGCUCCACCCUAUGAAAGCCCCAAUUUAUGGUGUUAGGAUAGAGCCCAAAUUUACAAAAGCCCCACUUCCAGUGGACUCUUCCACUGUUACUUCACUCAUUCUACUCACCUUAUCGCCACGUUGGAAUCUUGUUCUUCGUACAGAAUCGCUCAUCAAAAUCCAAAACCUCUGACCUUUACUUUGAAGGAUCAAACACAUUCUGCUGCCUCUUAACAAUUUACCCCAUUUUUGCUUCAGUUUAGUGUUCCCGCGAAUCAAUCGAAGCUCAAUUGCAUCAAAUCUCGUCCUAAUUUUCUCCGCCUCACUUCAAAUUGCCCUCGCCGAACUCACAAACAGCAAAAAAUCAAUAUCCAACGCAAUGAAUUCAAUCUCGAAUGUCAUCGUCAAUUUUCCAUAAGUGUGCAUCUCUGCUGAGUCACUUACUGAGUCGAUUCAACCAUUCAAUAGCAACUCUGGGCGUUGACCUUGAGGCCAUGGAGGCUGAAGCGAUUACUUGUAGUUACGCAGAUAAAUAAAGGCGUGGAACAUGGCUGCAAUGGCCGGUGCAGAAGAUUGUUUCUUAGCAUCACAGAAAUGAUUUUUUGAAUUCAGAAAGCCCCAAUUUAGGACUCCGUUGCAUUUUUAUUAAAAAUUUGUGAUUAUGAUUACAAUUAAUUAAUUUUUUAUUUUUUAUUUUAGGGGUAUUUUUAAGAAGGG
rnacentral:lncRNA from 1 species